rnacentral:misc_RNA from 1 species
GAUGAAGAACGCAGCAAAAUGCGAUAAGUAAUGUGAAUUGCAGAAUUCAGUGAAUCAUCGAAUCUUUGAACGCACAUUGCGCCCGCCAGUAUUCUGGCGGGCAUGCCUGUUCGAGCGUCAUUUCAACCCUCAAGCACAGCUUGGUGUUGGGACUCGCGUUAAUUCGCGUUCCUCAAAUUGAUUGGAGGUCACGUCGAGCUUCCAUAGCGUAGUAGUAAAACCCUCGUUACUGGUAAUCGUCGCGGCCACGCCGUUAAACCCCAACUUCUGAAUGUUGACCUCGGAUCAGGUAGGAAUACCCGCUGAACUUAAGCAUAUCAAUAAGCGGAGGA